rnacentral:sRNA from 1 species
GUAUCACUGGAACAUUUCAAGAUCAUCAAAUCAAAUUCCACAGGGAUUGGUGAUCAACCAGAAGGCUCAGACAUCUGAUUGCUGACCUGUCCAGACAUCAACUGGUCUCCCUGAACCUGAAAUCACACCAUGGAUGAUUUUGAACGUCGCAGAGAACUUAGAAGGCAAAAGAGGGAGGAGAUGCGACUCGAAGCAGAAAGAGGCGAAGUCUCACUAUGCUGCCCAGGCUGCUCUCAAACUCCUGGACUCAAGAGAUCCUCCUGCCUCGGGCUCCCAAAGUGUAGGGAUUACAGACAUGAGUCACCACACCCAGCCUGUUUGCUGAUCUUUUUUAAAAGAAUGUCUACAUUCACCUUUUCUAGGACUCAGUUCUCCAAAUCACUCUACCUUUCAUUUUGUAAGUAACAAUGGGAAGAAUAAA